CCAAUUACGUAGUUGCGACAGCGGUUCAAGGCGCGCUCCCGAAAGCAGCGGAUAAGACAGGAGAGAAGGCGGCUGAGAGACAAAUAAAACCCAAUUAACUGAUUCUUGCGGAAAAACAGGGCAAGGAAUAAAGACAGGAUGUCAGAGGAAAAACCAAAGGAAGGAGUAAAGACAGAGAAUGACCACAUCAACCUGAAGGUCGCAGGGCAAGAUGGGUCAGUGGUGCAGUUCAAAAUCAAAAGACACACACCUCUUAACAAACUAAUGAAGGCGUACUGUGAAAGACAGGGUCUCUCGAUAAGGCAGAUCAGGUUCAGGUUUGAUGGGCAGCCUAUCAAUGAGUCGGAUACACCCGCACAGCUGGAAAUGGAGGACGAGGACACCAUAGACGUUUUUCAGCAGCAGACAGGCGGCCACUGCUAAGCCAUCUCAUUGACAGCCGCCCUUAGACCACGCCCUUUCCCAGCCUCCUCCCAUCUGUCAUUGCUCCUCUCACAUUAUUAUUAAUAUUAUUAUUAUUAUUGUUAUUUCCAGAUGUCUUUUUUUUCUGUCGUGUGUGUGGGAGGGGCUCCUCAGCUCUUUAUGUACAGUCUCCACCAGGACCUUUGUGUGUCAGCUAGUGUUUUUGCUGGUAAUCUGGGAAUUGUAUUUUUCCUACUGAAAUUACAGCCUGUGAUUGGACCUGCCGCUUUGCCUGACGCUUCAGUGCUUCUUGUCAAGUCUCCAACAAAAGCAAGGUGCAGUAGCCUGUGACAGUUGAUUUUAAUCAAGCGAGGAGACACUCCCCCAACACGAGAACCCAAACUCACUUUCCCAAUUUCUACUUUGCUUUGCUGUCCUAAUGUCGACACCCAUUCCAACCCUCUGUCAUAAAUGUGUUUUAAUUCUCCACCAUUCUGUUGCUUUUGCCUAUGGGUUCUGCAAGUUUUGAGGGGUGGGGGCUUCUUUUUAAGAUUUAAGCAGGGAGAAUAUUUGUUAUUUUUGUCUCCUGUACAGAAGUAUCAGAAUGGAUGUUAGAUAAAUGUCGUGGGACUUGGACCAAUACUUCGAGGACUGAUCUUCCUUCUGUUAAUCACCGGCUUUAUUUGGAUCACUGACAACAACGAGCUGCGAGAUUAAAACAGUCAGGUCUCGAGGGGCUUCUAUUUCAACCUGUCUUUGAGACUGAUAUGGAAAGAUUGUACAGACCAAUAUCCAGUCGUCCAGAUACGUGACUUUGGUGGGUUAGCUGCCUCGCCUCUGUUGUUUUAAAUGAAGGUUGACAGGAAAACUGUUUAAGGGUAAGACCUUCUGUAAUGAUCAGAGAUGUCAGAAAAUGUUAGUAUAUCUGAGGUAUGUUUUUCUUUUCUAUCCCACUACGGUUGAUGCUUUGUCAGAACUCCUUGUCAACUAUCAACAUCUGCAUUUUGUGCUCUCCACAAGACAAAAGUUGCAGGUUGUAUUGUUCAAACAAAGUGGAUCCUGUCUCAAUAGUGUGGUUAGCAGGAUGAAUGUCGUAUGUUGCAUAUCGAGAGAUCCUGUCGAUCAGCUGAUGCAGUUUGGGAGAUGAGUUGUCCUGAACCCACAGGGCCCAGUUCUUUGUACAUGAUUCAGUUAAGGUAAUGAGCUGAAACCAAGUAGAGAACAAACUUUUCAGGGUGUUGGGUCAUCAUGAUGUUCUCUUAUUUCCAGAAAAGACAAACCAAACACUUGGACCGGAGUGUCCUUCAUUAUACUCUUUAAACUGAAUGUUAAAUUUGCUAAAAACACUAAA